AUGGUGCUGGGGCUGGUGGCUCUGGGAAGCACAGCGAGCGCGGCCGCGGCGCCGUGCAACGCGGGGCUGCUGGCUGCGUGCGCGUCGCCGGUCAUGACGGGGUCCAAGCCGAGCGCCGCGUGCUGCUCCAACCUGCGCGCCCAGCAGGGCUGCUUCUGCCAGUUCGCCAAGAACCCCAUCUACGGCCGCUACAUCCAAAGCCCUUACACCCGCCAGACCGUCUCAACCUGCGGCAUCGCCCUGCCACACUGCUAG
rnacentral:rRNA from 1 species